rnacentral:misc_RNA from 1 species
CCACGAUGUAUAACACACACUCUACCAAUAGAAAAUUAUAAAAUUAUCUGCAUGUAUUUUUAGGUAGGACUUACCAUGAUUUCAAUCAAAAUAACCAUCAUUGAUUGGUUGGAUGUAUACACCCGGGUGUGUGUAAAAAUUACUCAUGUAGGGAAUUGAGGUUGCGGAACUCAAACCUAACACGGUUAAGUGAAUGAUAUGCCUUUAGCUACUUAACCAAGCCUAGCUAAGAAACUUCAAACUAUUAUCCUCUUAUGAGCUUUUAUAUUCCAUCAUAGCUUUUGUUGUUUCCGAAUCAUUGCACAAGAAAUUGUAUAAAAAUAUGCUUCAAAAUGAUUACAACUCAUAAAUUAAUAGUCUUCAUAUACCUGAUAUAUAGCUGGGACAUAAUUAAGUAGUUUAUUCUAAAUUUAAUUUAUUUAUUACACUCAUUAACUAUUAUUGAUCGAUGAAGAGAAUGCACGAUACUUGUGAUUAUUGAUUUUCUAAUUCUAAUGGAUGAUUCUAACCCAUAGUGUAAGAAGGGCUUGGUAAAUUGAUAACAGUGCUCUUAACUUUGGUCAUCAAGUUAAUGCUGUUGGUGAUGCCUUG